ACAGAGGGUGCGAGCGUUAAUCGGAAUUACUGGGCGUAAAGAGCACGUAGGUGGAUUUUUAAGUCAGAUGUGAAAGCCCCGGGCCUAACCUGGGAACUGCAUUUGAUACUGGAAGUCUAGAGUAUGGUAGAGGGAAGUGGAAUUUCCGGUGUAGCGGUGAAAUGCAUAGAUAUCGGAAGGAACACCAGUGGCGAAGGCGGCUUCCUGGACUAAUACUGACACUGAGGUGCGAAAGCGUGGGUAGCAAACAGG
rnacentral:rRNA from 1 species